CAGCUCAUCACUGCUUCCCUGUUCCCAGUCUUGGUGGGUGGAAAACCCAGGACAUACCCACCCAGGGAGGGUCUCCUAAAAAAAAAGAAGUAACAUAACCGACCUGAAGCCAUUUGCCUGGGAAAUGUCUUUGGGCUGCUGCUGAGAACCAGUGAGGGUAUUGCAGAAGAGGAAGAAAAUACUAAUGAAACGGUGAUGGUGCCCCAGGGUGUGUGGGGAGAAGGCAAAGCAGAUUUGAAGCACUGUGGGGACUCCUCAGGCAGGCUGUCCCCAUGAGCUGCUCCCCUACUCCCUGCACAUAUCUGCGGGCUAAAACCUGGGCUCAGCCUUCAUGUGGCCAAUGAAAAUUGACAUUUUCCAUAUCCCAAGGUUAGCCUAACAGUAAUUAAAGCAUCACAUUGCACACAAUUCUUUCCAUUAUAAUUUAAGUGGAUUUUAUGCUAUUUUAAAAACCAUUCUAGUUCCCACUGUGAAUAAUGAAUACAAAUAAAGUUGAAUGUCAGACCUGGAAUACAAAUCAAAUAAGAAAACCUGUAAGUAUCCCAAACAUCUGCCCCCACAAUCCCUAAGUCUCAGGUGCUUUGCUGCCAGCCCAACAUUUCAUAAAUGGUUGCCCUGGUUUGCUUUUGAUGUCAAGCUACCUCAACGGGCCACUUCUGUUCCAUUAACAAUGAUAAGGCACCUCACACUCUGAGACAUCCUUCCAGCUUCCACCGUCUUUCCAGAAAUUCAUUCAUCUUUCUAAGCAGCUAUAUUAGACAGUGCCAAGAAGAUUUCUAAAAAGGAGAUAGACAGACACACCUACUCAGAAAUCACAAGGUCUUUCAGAUAUGAUAAUUGGUUUUUUUUUUUUUUCCCAUCACUGAAAGAAUGGGGCUUUUGCUCAAUUCAUUUUCUACACUUUCAGUCAAUGUGCUUAAAAAUGUCCCUGCCUCUCUGGAUCCCUAGGAGGGACAAUUUUCAGCUAUGCUCUCCUGCAAUUGUGGAUGUGAUUUUGUUGUGUUCUGAUUCUGAAUAACACGACAGAAAGUUGACAUCAGCAUAGCUUGCUCCUCUCAUUGUCGUUCCAUGAAAUAGGAAGAGAAACUGGAAACAGAGCUUUACACAUGGUCUAGCUGGAAGGAUAGUAUAGAAAAGGUUGAAAUCUUGUAACCCCAUUUAAAAAUGCAUGAGAGGGGACAGAUUUGGGUUUCUGCUGCCUGUUCACCAUGGACACCCAAGAGGCAGAAACAGGGAAAGAAGCCUGUAGCCUUUCUGUGACUCAUUGUAAUGCAGAAAAGCCUGGUGACAGGGAGUUGUUUUUAUUUUUAUACUAUUACUAGACUGAAAAGCAUUAAUAUUGUCAUACAGAUGGUCACCUAUGUUGGAAGCUUAUGAAAGAACUCUAAAUUGCGAAAAGAUUAUUCUAAAUUCAGGAAAGCAUCAACUCCUCCUGUCUACUGUUGAUGGGCAUUUAGGUUGAUUCCAUGUCUUUGCUAUUGUAAAUAGUGCUGCAAUGAAAAUACACAUGCAUGUGUCUUUAUUGUAAAAUGAUUUAUAUUCUUUUCACUGCUUUUUGUUUUUUAAUAGAAUCUAGGUUUUGUGUCUUGCUUAAGAAUACCGUCUUAUCACCCAGGUAUGAAGCCCAUCACACAUUAGCUAUUCUUCCUGAUCCUCUCCCUUCUCCCACCCCCUGUCCUCCAACAGGCCCCAGAGAGUGUUGUUCCCCACCAGUGUUCAUGUGUUUUCAUCAUUUAACUCCCACUUAUAAGUGAGAACAUGCGGUAUUUGAAUUUCUUGAAACAUACAAAUUUCCAAAUCUGUCACAAGGAAUAGGAAAAAUUCCUAACACAUCAGUCAAUCUCAAUCAGAUAUGUUAGCUUUCUCUGGGAUCCACUGACAAUGUCUAGAGGCCUUUUUGUGUCGCAACUCAGGGGGAAAGGGUGCUAUUGGCAUCUGGUGAGUAGAGGCCAAGGAUGUUCCUAAACACCAUUCAAUCCUGUAAUAAAUAGGACAGCUCUACACAAAAAAGAAUUAUUCAGCCCCAAGCAUCAAUUGUACCAAGAUGGAGAAACCUGUUAAUACAACUUUUCUUGUUAUAUAAUUCUAAUUACUCAUCAAAAACCUUUGACA
rnacentral:lncRNA from 1 species